GACGAACGCUGGCGGCGUGCCUAAUACAUGCAAGUAGAACGCUGAAGGAGGAGCUUGCUCUUCUGGAUGAGUUGCGAACGGGUGAGUAACGCGUAGGUAACCUGCCUGGUAGCGGGGGAUAACUAUUGGAAACGAUAGCUAAUACCGCAUAAGAGUAGAUGUUGCAUGACAUUUACUUAAAAGGUGCAAUUGCAUCACUACCAGAUGGACCUGCGUUGUAUUAGCUAGUUGGUGGGGUAACGGCUUACCAAGGCGACGAUACAUAGCCGACCUGAGAGGGUGAUCGGCCACACUGGGACUGAGACACGGCCCAGACUCCUACGGGAGGCAGCAGUAGGGAAUCUUCGGCAAUAGACGGAAGUCUGACCGAGCAACGCCGCGGGAGUGAAGAAGGUUGUCGGAUCGUAAAGCUCGGUUGUAAGAGAAGAACGAGUGUGAGAGUGGAAAGUUCACACUGUGACGGUAUCUUACCAGAAAGGGACGGCUAACUACGUG
rnacentral:rRNA from 1 species